GAUGAAGAACGCAGCGAAAUGCGAUAAGUAAUGUGAAUUGCAGAAUUCAGUGAAUCAUCGAAUCUUUGAACGCACCUUGCGCUCCUUGGUAUUCCGAGGAGCAUGCCUGUUUGAGUGUCAUGAAAUUCUCAACCUUUUCAGCUUUCUUUGUUGAUCAGGCUUGGAUGUGGGAGUAUGCGGGCUUCUCAGAAGUCGGCUCUCCUGAAAUGCAUUAGCGGGACCUUUGUUGCCUGGCUUUGGUGUGAUAAUUAUCUACGCCAUUGUAGUCAAGCAGCUUAAAAUGAGGUUUCAGCUUCUAACCGUCUCCCCUGAGACAACUUUUUGACAAUUUGACCUCAAAUCAGGUAGGACUACCCGCUGAACUUAAGCAUAUCAUAAGCGGAGG
rnacentral:misc_RNA from 1 species